CAAUGUUUCUUGGGCAUCAUGAAGCCCAAGGAACACACCAGACAGGCCAGGGAUCAAGUUGUGGGGAAGUUUAAAGCAGGAUUAGGUUAU